GUAGUAUCCCUAGGGGUGCAUUCACUAUUUUUUAUUUCAAAUGGGGGUCAACUUGGCACUAUUUGGGGGGCCGGAACAUGGGUGGGGUCAUUUUUCGACUAUUGAUUCGCUACUGGUAGAACCUUUAAGUUUUGUGUAAUACAAGAGACCGAUGUCCAGGUGUCCAUUCCACAUUUUUUAUUUCAGCCCGGGGUCAUCUUGGCAUUAUUUUAGGGGGUCAAUUUUCAUGGAACAUUCUAGAACAAUAGUCAUGUGAUUAGUCAUGUGAUAGUGUUGAAUUAUUCCUAUGUACUUUUUAUACGACCGCAAAAAAAUUUUGUGGUCGUAUAUUGGUAUGACGUUGGCGUCGUCGUCAUCGUCGUCGUCGUCGUCCGAAGACACAUUGGUUUUCGCACUCUAACUUUAGUUUAAGUGAAUGGAUCUUUUUGAAAUUUUACCAUAAGGUUAAAUACCACAAAAGGAAAGUUGGGAUUGAUUUUGGGGGUUAUGGUACCAACAGUUAAGGAAUUAGGGGCCAAAAAGGGGCCAAAAAUAAGCAUUUUCUAGUUUCCAGACAAUAACUGUGGAACGGUGUAUGGAUCUCUCUGAAAUUAUACUACAAGUUUCCAUACCACAAAGGGAUGGUUAGGAUUUGCUUUGGGGGGUUAUGGCUCAAACCGUUUAGGAAUUAGGGGCAAAAAAUGGGGAAAAACAAGGUUGUCCUGGUUAAUGGACAAAUACUUUAGUACAAAACAUAAUUUAAAGCAGUGUAAGGGAGAUAAAUCAAAUACAUCAUUGAAAUUAUCUCCCUUACACUGCUUUUAAUUUAUGUAUAAAGUAAUGGUUAAUGAACAAUAAAAAUAAUUUAAAACAGUGUAAGGGAGGUAAUCCAAAUACAACGUUUUAGUUACUUCCCUUGCACUGCUUUUAAAUUAUGUUUAAAGAAAUGCAUAUUUAUAAAGGAAGACCAGUAAAAAUAUCUGCAAAUGUUGCAUCUUUUUUUUUUACAAAAAAAUCCAUAUGAAAGAUUUGACACUAUAUUUUUAAUUCUAUUAUAAAAUAGAUUAAGUUAGCACUAUGGUAAAUUUAAAUGGGUAAUUAUGAUUGCAAACUUCAUUGGAAAUUUGAAUUGAGAUUAUGACCAUAUCUUGAGGGAAAGAAUUUUUUGGGGGAAAAAAGGGGGGGGGG